CCUUCAGUGGAGAAGUAUCUAUGGAUAGUGGAUCUCUGUUGAUCUCUGUUGAUGUCCGAUGAUUCCUCCCCUUCUGAGGACUCCUGUUUAAUGGAGGUUGGGAUCAGGACACAUGGGGGCAACAGGACAGGUGCUGACCGGGGGGAUGCAAUGUUCCGUGGUCCACAGUAUCAUACGCCAGAGAGUCCGCUAGCAGGAGGACCGAGGGCCAGGCGGUUCCUGAGAGGGGAAAGGUCUAAUUCCUGCUCCUCACCUAGCACAGCCACCAACACAUAUAGGUCUCCAGUGCUUCAGCGCCAGGCUAUGUUUGCCAGUAGCUGUUCCCAGCUUGAAGCAAUAGGAAAUUC